AGCAAUCGUUGGAGCUGCAAACGGCAUGAAGUGGCCGCGGAGUUACAUUGACUGGCGGCAGCUGUUGUGUGCCCCACGUGACUCUCCCCACUGUCCGCUCUGGUCUGGUAGUGGGGGUAGCGUGCUCGCGCUGCUCCGUGCUCGCGCCUUGCUGGUCACAGCUUGCUCCGCGAGCACGAUGUUGUGAAGCCCUGUACUACAGCUUCAGGGACGAAUGUAGAAAGAAAUGGAAAAACCUGU